rnacentral:rRNA from 1 species
GAUGAACGCUGGCGGCGUGCUUAACACAUGCAAGUCGAACGGAAAGGCCCUGCUUGUGUGGGGUGCUCGAGUGGCGAACGGGUGAGUAACACGUGAGUAACCUGCCCUUGACUUUGGGAUAACUUCAGGAAACUGGGGCUAAUACCGGAUAGGAGCUGCUGCUGGAUGGUGGGGGUUGGAAAGUUUCGGCGGUUGGGGAUGGACUCGCGGGUUAUCAGCUUGUGGGUGGGGUAGUGGCUUACCAAGGCUUUGACGGGUAGGCGGCCUGAGAGGGUGACCGGCCACAUUGGGACUGCGAUACGGCCCAGACUCCUACGGGAGGCAGCAGUGGGGAAUCUUGCACAAUGAGCGGAAGCCUGAUGCAGCAGCGCCGCGUGCGGAAUGACGGCCUUCGGGUUGUAAACCGCUUUCGCCUGUGACGAAGCGUGAGUGACGGUAAUGGAUAAAGAAGCACCGGCUAACUACGUG